AGAGUUUGAUCCUGGCUCAGGACGAACGCUGGCGGCGUGCUUAACACAUGCAAGUCGUACGGUAAGGCCCUUUCGGGGGUACACGAGUGGCGAACGGGUGAGUAACACGUGAGUAACCUGCCCACAACUUUGGGAUAACGCUAGGAAACUGGUGCUAAUACUGGAUAUGUGCUCCUGCUGCAUGGUGGGGGUUGGAAAGCUCCGGCGGUUGUGGAUGGACUCGCGGCCUAUCAGCUUGUUGGUGGGGUAGUGGCCUACCAAGGCGGCGACGGGUAGCCGGCCUGAGAGGGUGACCGGCCACAUUGGGACUGAGAUACGGCCCAGACUCCUACGGGAGGCAGCAGUGGGGAAUAUUGCACAAUGGGCGCAAGCCUGAUGCAGCAACGCCGCGUGCGGGAUGACGGCCUUCGGGUUGUAAACCGCUUUCAGCAGGGACGAAGCUUUUUGUGACGGUACCUGCAGAAGAAGCACCGGCUAACUACGUGCCAGCAGCCGCGGUGAUACGUAGGGUGCGAGCGUUGUCCGGAUUUAUUGGGCGUAAAGGGCUCGUAGGCGGUUGAUCGCGUCGGAAGUGGAAACUUGAUGCUUAACGUUGAGCGUGCUUUCGAUACGGGUUGACUUGAGGAAGGUAGGGGAGAAUGGAAUUCCUGGUGGAGCGGUGGAAUGCGCAGAUAUCAGGAGGAACACCAGUGGCGAAGGCGGUUCUCUGGACCUUUCCUGACGCUGAGGAGCGAAAGCGUGGGGAGCGAACAGGCUUAGAUACCCUGGUAGUCCACGCUGUAAACGGUGGGUACUAGGUGUGGGGUCCAUUCCACGGAUUCUGUGCCGUAGCUAACGCAUUAAGUACCCCGCCUGGGGAGUACGGCCGCAAGGCUAAAACUCAAAGGAAUUGACGGGGCCCCGCACAAGCGGCGGAGCAUGCGGAUUAAUUCGAUGCAACGCGAAGAACCUUACCUGGGUUUGACAUGGAUCGGGAGCUUCCAGAGAUGU
rnacentral:rRNA from 1 species